UGGAUCGAUGAUGACUACUGGUGGCGUACGAGUCGUAGAUGAUGAAUACGUGUCUGGAACUGAGGUCCAA
ensembl:snoRNA